UACGUAGGGGGCAAGCGUUGUCCGGAAUCAUUGGGCGUAAAGAGCGCGUAGGCGGCCCGAUAAGUCCGCUGUGAAAGUCAAGGGCUUAACCCUUGAAUGCCGGUGGAAACUGUCGGGCUAGAGUCCGGAAGAGGCGAGUGGAAUUCCUGGUGUAGCGGUGAAAUGCGCAGAUAUCAGGAGGAACACCGAUGGCGAAGGCAGCUCGCUGGGACGGUACUGACGCUCAGGUGCGAAAGCUAGGGGAGCGAACAGG
rnacentral:rRNA from 1 species